UACGUAGGGGGCAAGCGUUGUCCGGAUUUAUUGGGCGUAAAGAGCUCGUAGGUGGUUCGGUAAGUCGGAUGUGAAAUCUCCAGGCUCAACCUGGAGGGGUCAUUCGAUACUGCCGUGACUAGAGUUCGGUAGGGGAGUGUGGAAUUCCUGGUGGAGCGGUGAAAUGCGCAGAUAUCAGGAGGAACACCCGUAGCGAAGGCGGCACUCUGGACAGUGACUGACGCUGAGACGCGAAAGCGUGGGGAGCAAACAGG
rnacentral:rRNA from 1 species